UUAGUGACAGGCUUCACAUAAACAAAACCCAGCAGUGGUGAGGCAUCAUGCCCAUGGCAUGGGGCUCCUGCAUUCCUUCUUGGGAAUUCCUUUUCCACGAGACGCUGUCCUGAAAUGCAGUAGCUCAAAUUGUGUCUCAGAAGACGGUCCCUCAAGACUGCACACUUGGCACCAAGUGGGGCAGCUUCCCUCAACCCCUCAAAGCAGCAAGAUUUAUGCAAGCCUUCUGUGACAGCAGAGCUUCUGUCCUAUCAGUAGCCUUAUCAAAUCUGUCCUAUAGCCCCAUCAGACCUGAGCGAACACCUGCUUUCCAGACACAUCAUCUAAAAGAAGGAGGGAGAUGAAUCAAGCCAGAAGUUAGAAGCCCCCAGAGAUUGGAUCUCGCUAUGCUGCCAAGGCUGGUCGCAAACUCCUGGCCUCAAGUGAUCCUCCCACCUUGACCUCCCAAUGUGCUGUGAUUAUAGGUGUGCAUCACCACACCUGGCAUUGAUUCAGUAGACUUUGAAUAAAGCAGAUU